rnacentral:rRNA from 1 species
UACAGAGGGGGCAAGCGUUGUUCGGAAUUACUGGGCGUAAAGGGCGCGUAGGUGGCCUUCUAAGUUGAACGUGAAAUCCCUGGGCUCAACCCAGGAACUGCGUCCAAGACUGGGAGGCUUGAAUCCGGGAGAGGGAUGCGGAAUUCCAGGUGUAGCGGUGAAAUGCGUAGAUAUCAGGAGGAACACCGGUGGCGAAGGCGGCUACCUGGACAUCAACUGACGCUGAGACGCGAAAGCGUGGGGAGCAAACAGG